rnacentral:rRNA from 1 species
AGUGAACGCUGGCGGUAGGCCUAACACAUGCAAGUCGAACGGCAGCACAGUAAGAGCUUGCUCUUACGGGUGGCGAGUGGCGGACGGGUGAGGAAUACAUCGGAAUCUACUUUUUCGUGGGGGAUAACGUAGGUAAACUUACGCUAAUACCGCAUACGACCUACGGGUGAAAGCAGUGGAUCUUCGGACCUUGCGCGAUUGAAUGAGCCGAUGUCGGAUUAGCUAGUUGGCGGGGUAAAGGCCCACCAAGGCGACGAUCCGUAGCUGGUCUGAGAGGAUGAUCAGCCACACUGGAACUGAGACACGGUCCAGAGUCCUACGGGAGGCAGCAGUGGGGAAUAUUGGACAAUGGGCGAAAGCCUGAUCCAGCCAUACCGCGUGGGUGAAGAAGGCCUUCGGGUUGUAAAGCCCUUUUGUUGGGAAAGAAAAGAAGCAGGCUAAUACCCCGCUGUUCUGACGGUACCGAAAGAAUAAGCACCGGCUAACUUCGCG